AAGGCUAAGAACAAAUAAUAUUCAGUAAUAUUGCACAGUAGGAAUUAAACAAUGGAAAAUUAUCACUUGCUUCAAAGAAAACAAUUCAAAACUUCAAAUUACCAAACUUCCAUAACACAUGAAUUACAUCCCAAUUUGAGCAAAAUUAUACAAUACUGCCAUAAAUUAAUAAAGCGUGAAUCAAAGGAAAAUUACAAAUUACAUGCCCUAAUAAACCGAAACUAAGUGAUGAUGCAAAUAACACUGUCAGCUACUCAGUGACCAACUCAAGAUGCCAAUCAUUAGAUUUGAACUUUGCACCAAAUGGUUUUCAAUUGGUUCCAAUAGUUAUUUAUUAACCUGGACACCACACCCUUAGAAUUUAAUCACUAAAAACAAGAAGCUAGCCUAAAACUUGAAAAAGGAGCUAAACAUGACAAAGAAAUAUCUCAUAAUUGAGGAAAGAGACACAGGGACAAAAUCAAAUUCUUAAUAAGAACAUAACAUGACUGGAUCAUCAGCUCCCAAGCUUUCUUUUAACAACCUUGUAAAAUUUUAUCCUUGGCUUGUGGCUUGCCAAUCUAACCAACCAUGGCUAGAUCCGCAAGACUUUUGACCAAAUUAUUAAUCAGCAAGUACUUUCCAUUCUUCGGAAUAAAAAAAGAUCGACAUGCUCAAAUCAGCCUGCUUACAGUCAAGAUUUUCCUACUAUGGCUUAAAACCAAAGGACAAUACUAAUAACAAACAAACACAAUCUUAUUUAUGAAAUAAGGAGAAGAAGAACACAGUAUGGUAGCAUGUUUCAACCCAACUAUAGAAUACUAAUAGACCGUUUCCAUUGUCUUCUUACUUCAAUCAUUACUCAAACUUAAAGAAAAUGAACAAAACACAAAACCAAUGUAGAUUUGGAACUUUAAACGAGCUGAAAAUCCCAAGAUCAUUACAAGAAAGCACAAUCUAACUUCAUUCAUACUCAAAUAUCCAAGGAAAUUAGCUUUUCAUUCAAAACACAACUAAAAACCAAUCAUACAAAGUUCAGAAAAAAUACCUAGAAAAAAGAAAAAAAUUAACUUAAUGAAAGAAGGAAGUCUGCAGUAGCUCAGCUCAAACAACCAGCAAUUGAAUUUAUACCUGCGGANNNNNNNNNNNNNNNNNNNNNNNNNNNNNNNNNNNNNNNNNNNNNNNNNNNNNNNNNNNNNNNNNNNNNNNNNNNNNNNNNNNNNNNNNNNNNNNNNNNNNNNNNNNNAGAAAUGAACAUAACAAAAAACCAACGUAGAUUUGGAACUUUAAACGAGCUGAAAAUCCCAAGAUCAUUACAAGAAAGCACAAUCUAACUUCAUUCAUACUCAAAUAUCCAAGGAAAUUAGCUUUUCAUUCAAAACACAACUAAAAACCAAACAUGCAAAGUUCAGAAAAAAUACCUAGAAAAAAGAAAAAAAUUAACUUAAUGAAAGAAGGAAGUCUGCAGUAGCUCAGCUCAAACAACCAGCAAUGAAUUAAACCUCAAAGUUUUAUUUCAGCAUUUGAAAUCCCCCAGCAAAAUGACUCCAGAGAAGAAAAACCAAAAAUUUCUUAAGAACACUUUUUGAAGGUUUUGUUUUUACUCUUUUUUCUAUGCGCUAAUGAUUGGAAAGAGGUUCUUUAAUAGGAGGAAUUCUAGGGCAACACAAUCUGAUUUGCCAUUUUAGAAAUGCCCCUUUAAUUUUUACUUAAAAACACUUACACCCCUGCCUCAAAGAAUUUUCCCCCUCGUUUAUCUUUAAUAGGAUCCUUGUCAGUUUUCUAGAUGUUUUCUUUAAAUCUUAUCCAAUUUCAAACCCUAGCAACACUAUUUUUUACCCUCAUUUUCUUUGUUUUUUCACUGUUCUAUUGUACCGGGUCUGGUUUCAAACCCAAAAACCAAACAAAACUUAAAUAGAAAUUAGGACAACAUUCAAUUAAAGAAAAUCUACAUGAGGAUCUUUUAAGAAAAUAUUAAAAAAAUAAUUAAAACUAAAUAACGAGCUAUUACUCACUGAUCAAUCUAUUAUGCCCUAAAAUAGUUCUAAUUACUCCUAGAUAGAAAAGAAAAAAUAAAAAUAUCCCAGUAGAUGAUUGAAGGAAGAAAAAAGAAAAAAAAGGAAGAAAAAAAAAGGAAGAAUUAUAUCGAAUGAAUUAAAAACUUCAACAGACUAUAAGAGGUAAUAAUGGAUCCACUUGAGACUCCGAUGAGCACAAAACUCGGCUAAAUGAUGGGAAUUGUCACAUGAAUAUUAGCUAGACUCUCGUCCAUGGUCAACGGCUCAUUCAGCAAUUCUCACAAUGUGCCUAGAAGGAAACAAGGAUGAAGCUUGAAGAAAUUGGAUCGUUCAAAGCUAUUUGCCCGAAAUCUGGCCAGAUCUAUGAGAUAGGGCUUUUUGACAUUCAAAAGAACUCCCUUUGUUGACAAACUGAGGAAUUCAUGCAUGUUUUUCACGAAUUGAGGAAUUAAUCCGGAUAAUUUGGACAGAAGGAAAAAAGUUUGGAUUUUUAUUUUUUGAAUCCGCAAUUCAGAGAGAUUGAAUAACUUGGAGAAAGUAACAACGUGACAUGGACGAGGAGAUGAUGGAGGUUGUAAGGUUAAUAUUUGGAGCAUUUGGAGGUGCUACGCCGUAGUGAGACAAUUUUUGGAUGGCGAAGAUACGGAUGAGUGGGCGAUGAUUUCAGAGAGAAGAAAGAAUUUGUUUUUAGUUUAAGGAACUAAUUGGAUUAAUAAAGGAAUUUGGUUGUUUAAUGGGGCCAGGAAACGGCGUAGUUUUUCCAUGUAACUACGUCUUGUCGGGGUGAAAGGGGGGCUGACCGGUAAGAAGGGGAUUGGGUUUGGGUUAG
rnacentral:lncRNA from 1 species